GCCCCGGCGCAGUGAGGGGCGGGGGGGAGGAGCCGCGCUGCGCAAAGUCUCGCCCUCCGCCCUGCCGGCCGCUGAGUCACACUACGCCUGCGCAGCAGGGUCGCUGCUGGAAGGUGCGGGGCAAGAUGGUGGUGGAGCAGCAGGGCACCUGUGCCCUGAAGCCAGCGUGGCACCUCCCCCCGCAACAGCAGCUGCCACUGCAGCCUGCCAAGAAAGCCAAGCCACAGGUCAGCGACGGCUUCACCGUCAAGGCCAUGAUGAAGAACAGCGUGGUGACUCCCAAGGCCUGGGCAGGGCCAGUGGUGACCAGAGAGACAGGGGACAGGAGAUGUACAAUAGAUCAUGCUUCAGAGCCUCAGGUGAAUAAUGUUGUAAUGGUACUAAGUGUGUAUUUUUAGUUAACGUAGCUAACCCAAUGUAUUUUUAGCAAACCCCUAGGAAAAGGUGAGGGAAAGAAACAGUUGAACAUCACUAAAUAACCAUGAAGAUAAUGAAAAAUACACUUUUUAAUAAUAACUUCCAAAAAUAACUCUCACAAUACUAGUGAAUAGUACAUUGAAAAGGAUGUAAUUCUCCAGCUGAUAGCUUUUAGGAUGAAGAUGACCCAGGGGUGGAUCCAGUAAUCUUUACUUUCAUUAAUAGUCCCUAGAGAAGCACUUCCACUGAAGAUCCUGGGAUGGCUGCCAUCAGUAGAGAGUCCAGAAUUGGGCCCUGUGUUUGUAAUGAAGCUUUUUUGCAAUAAUUGUGUUAAAUGAUUGCUCCCAUCAAAUUUAAUAAAUAAAAAUCAAAGCUUCUGCUAGUGCAGAAUGCAGCUGCUCAGUUUGCAAGUGGAACGAGCUAUUACAAAUACACAACAUCUGUGCUCAAAUCUCUGGACUGGCUUUUUGUUUGCUUGUGGGUACAGUUCAAGGUGUAUAUAACAGUAUUCUUUUUUUCUCUUUUUUAAUUUAUAUUUGUUUUCCUGGGGAAAAGAAAAAGAAAUGCUAGAGACUUCUCUCACAGGUCUCUGGAAUUCACUAUAUACAGCAAAUAUUGACAAUUAAGCAUAAGCAA